rnacentral:lncRNA from 1 species
GUCCUGUUUUGCAGCUUACACAGGACCACACUGACAUUCUCCUUUGCAGCCUUUGCAGAAAUGACUUCUGCAAAACAUCCUAAAAUAAGACAGUUCACAAAAGCAUUUGUCAAUAUCACGCAAAAGGGGCAGUUAAGACCUAAGCACCCAGAUGUCAGCAAAAAAAAGACCAUCAGCACGUGGGCUUUGACCUAAUAGGGAGACAGAUACGUGACCAAAGCUCUGAUUGGCAGGACUCGGCACGCCCUGAUUGCUUAAGAAAAUUCUGCAAAAGAGCUCAUAAAAACCGCUAAACUUAGAAACUCCGGGGGGCAACCCACUUGGGUCCACCUCCCUCUCUGGGAGCUUUAUACUCUUGCUCAAUAAACACCACUCUUCAUCUGGUCUACCUCUUCAUUCUUCGAAGUGGCGCGACCAAGGACCAGGGCACUGAGGGGACAAUAAUCCGUAACACUUGGAAGAAUGCUGCGGCAGGCUAUUUGGAAUACUCUGGACUUCAUCAUUAAGAAUUUAAGAUGCAAGACACCUCAUCUGAAGUAUUUUUAUCUAUACAUUUAGCACAGUCCUUGCCACGAGGGGAUAAUUCAACUUAACUGUAAGGUGAAAGGACUUGUCCAUUUCCACACAGCUUACAACAGAGCAGAUAGCAGACCAUGUUCCACGACCAUGAAGCCAGUGUUUCUGUGUUCACCACUUGAGGAAAAGAAGUGCAAUGCUGGGAACUAUAUGGAAUUCCAAUUCAAAGCAAAGAUCCUACUGCAAAGGAGUGAUGAGAUCAGUCACCUCAUCAGAUGUUCUCAGCCCUGGAUGGACAUUAGAAUCACCUGCUUAACGUUAAACAUCGUGAUAUCUUCACCUGAUUCCACCGGACUUCUGAUUAACUGCAUUCUGAUUAGGGCCUGUGCCUCAGGGGUUUUUCAUGUGUGUGGCACCACUGGCUUUCAGUGA